rnacentral:misc_RNA from 1 species
GUGAAUCAUCAAAUUUUUGAACGCAAAUUGCACUCUCUUCGGAGAGUAUGCCCGUUUGAGGGUCAGUAUUAAUAAAAAUCGGUGUGUUGCUUCUUUGUGACGCUCCGGAGUUUGGGUCAUCUUAAUAUCCUUUAGGUUUUAAGAGGCUUAAAAUUGACUUUUUUUGCGCAUUUUAGAUGUACAUAAAUUCUUUUUUUUUUUGGUUUUUCUUAAGCCUCAAAUCCCAUUUAGUUGCGACA